rnacentral:snoRNA from 1 species
UGCCCCCUUCUCACUCUGCCAAUCAGACUUGUGUCUUAAUUGGUCCUUCAAGGGGACAAAGAAAGAGUCCUUUUAAGCCUCAAGCAAACUGGGGUCAAAGCGAUAAUACAGCAGGUAGGGCAUUUGCCUUGCAUACAGCUGACCUAGGU